rnacentral:lncRNA from 1 species
CAAUGGCCAUCUUUGCCAAAGCUUUUCAUAAACAUUAGCUAUUAGGUUUGAGUUAUCAUAGUGGUUGAUGUAAACCUCACCUUAUCCUUAGUGAUUGGACUAUAAGUCUUCCAUACUUAUUAUAGGGUGGAUCCCUCACUAGUAUGUUGAAGCUCUCCUCACAUGGUGGAUUGUGGUUUAGGUUGAGUUUUCUCCCUUUGAUAACAAAAGACCUUAAGGCUUUGACCAAUCAAUUCACCAACUUCUUUU